AGGGACAUAACUCAGCGGUGGAGUGUUACCUUGACGUUGUGGAAGUCAUCAGUUCGAUCCUGAUUAUCCCUA
rnacentral:tRNA from 1 species